rnacentral:rRNA from 1 species
UACGAGGGGGGCGAGCGUUGUUCGGAAUUAUUGGGCGUAAAGGGUGCGUAGGCGGUUCCGCAAGUCCUGUGUGAAAUCUUCGGGCUCAACUCAAGUCUGCACGGGAAACUGCGGGGCUUGAGUGUGGGAGAGGUGAGUGGAAUUCCUGGUGUAGCGGUGAAAUGCGCAGAUAUCAGGAGAAACACCGGUGGCGAAGGCGGGUCUCUGGGCCGAUACUGACGCUGAGGAGCGAAAGCGUGGGGAGCGAACAGG